CCUCGGUAAUGGUGGACCAGACUUGGGAGCUCUGGAUGGCUCUGCUUGGAAGCCCUUUGGAGGCCCAUGGAGGUCAGCUAGAGGUCUGCAGCCAUAAGAGGCUAGCCGGCGGGAGGCGGGAGCUGCAGGAGGACGGUGUCAGCAUUAUCCUUUAGGGUGGAGCCAGGUGUCCACAGAGAGAAGCAGAGGAGAGACCCAAGGGGGAAUAAUGACAAGGAAAAGAGUCUGUACCUGCAACCAUCAUAGCCCUAACUACACAGUACACGAAGGAGACAUGAAGUGACAACAGUCCACAAAUACCAGAGUUGGAGGAUCUGGACCUGGUGGGCGCUCCUGCAGGGGGUGCUCACCCAUCACUGCAUUCUCCUCGAUUGCCAGUGCUCAAUGCAUAGCAAAUUCAAGUUCUU
rnacentral:lncRNA from 1 species